rnacentral:lncRNA from 1 species
UCUCACAUCGUCGACGACAGGGCCCGGUCUCUUUUCAGUGAUGAGAACCCAAACGCCUGCUCCAUUAUGUGAAGAUAUAUUGUGAAAAAAAAAUGUGUACCUAUAAAUACUGUAAUUAGCUGGAGGACUGGGCCGUUUGCCUAGUCUUUUUGGUUUUUGGGUUUCCGUAGUAAAGGGUGUACGUAGAGAAGUGAGUUUUGGGGGGUUCUAUAUUUUCAUAGAAG